GAUGAACGCUAGCUACAGGCUUAACACAUGCAAGUCGAGGGGAAACGAUAUUGGAAGCUUGCUUCUGAUAGGCGUCGACCGGCGCACGGGUGAGUAACGCGUAUCCAACCUGCCCAUCACUUGGGGAUAACCUUGCGAAAGUAAGACUAAUACCCAAUGACGUCUCUAGAAGACAUCUGAAAGAGAUUAAAGAUUUAUCGGUGAUGGAUGGGGAUGCGUCUGAUUAGCUUGUUGGCGGGGUAACGGCCCACCAAGGCGACGAUCAGUAGGGGUUCUGAGAGGAAGGUCCCCCCACAUUGGAACUGAGACACGGUCCAAAACUCCUACGGGAGGCAGCAGUGAGGAAUAUUGGUCAAUGGACGAGAGUCUGAACCAGCCAAGUAGCGUGAAGGAUGACUGCCCUAUGGGUUGUAAACUUCUUUUAUACGGGAAUAAAGUUAGCCACGUGUGGUUUUUUGUAUGUACCGUAUGAAUAAGGAUCGGCUAACUCCGUGCCAGCAGCCG
rnacentral:rRNA from 1 species